AAGUAUGCCUGAAGACAACAUGUCUUGCCAAACAGGAGAGAAGUGAAUGAUGCCAAGAGGAGGAACUAUAUUCAGAAAUCUUGGUGAAGGAGGAACAUAUUCAAAUGAAAUCAGUGCUAAGACACGGGCACUGGAGAGUGUUGCCACCUGAUGGAAAUUAAUGCGAUUGGACGAAGCUAUUUCAUCAAGAUUUUGGAUGAGAAUUUUUUUUUAGUCUCUAACUUUGCAGUUUUUAGGAACU